AUGGCCCUAGCUGCCUCUUCGGACUGUGACAGACUCACCCAACAGCAGCACCCUGAACAUUCCACAGCCAGUGGAGCACAGGGGGUUAAGGAUUCAGAACCUCUCUCUCCAACAGAGGAGAAAAUAGUGCCACUUCCGGGGCACUUGAAGGACAGAUUGCUGGGGAUGGGACUGCAAUCGGGCCUCGGAGAGGGAGAAGUGAUUGCUGCCCUCAUUAAUAUUACUGCUGGCAAAGGCUGCGUGGGACUCAAUCAGGUGUGUGCCUUAGAGCUGGGAACAGCAAACAAAGCGCUUUGCCAAGUACUGGUGGUCACUACUGAAAGACCAAACAUGAGGAAGUGGUGUGGAAACGCCUGGAUUUAUUAUCAGGUGCACUCCACUGGUGUCUAGUGUUCCAGAACUCAACUCUUGAUUUGUGGGGUCUGCAUAAUUUUGAAUAGUUGGCAUCAAAUUGAAUUUGAUUUUUGGACACUUCUCUGGUGUUACAGAAUUGGAGAAGAGACUUGUAAAUUCUCUCAGUAUUUCAGCAUAAAGAUGCUAUAGAUUCUUAAAUUUUCCUCUUAGUAUGUUUGUGCUUUUGUGACACCACUGUAACUAAUAUGGCUUUUGAAAAAAAAUGUGUGUGUGUGUGUGUGUGUGUGUGUGUGUGUGUGUGUGUGUUUAUGCAUGCCCAUGUGUACAAGUCAGAGGACAACCUUCAGACCUGUGCACAAGUGUCUCUACCCACUGAGAAAUCUCUUUGGCUCAGUAGUACGUUUAAAAAUUCAUUUCCUUUUCCUUUUUUUGUUUUGUUUUGUUUUUUUGAGAUAGGGUUUCUGUGUGUAGCUGUGGCUGUCCUAGAACUAACUCUAUAGAUCAGGCUGGCCUCAAACUCAUAGAGAUCUUCUUGCCACUGCCUCCCAAGGUCUGGGAUUAAAGGCAUGUGCCACCACGGCCCGGCUUUAAAAUUCAUUUUCUUAUCAUUUAUUGUUGGUACUUGGGAAGAUAAUCAUUGUAUUAUCAAAGUAUAGUUGGAAGCCUUACUAAGUUGACUUACUAUUUAUAGCUGAUUUUUAGGUAUUUGUUUUGUUGUUAGGUUUUUCUUUUUUUUUUUUUUUAGAUUUUACUUUUAUUUGUGUGUGCGCUCAAGUGAGUGCAUACGCGCUCGUGUGCGUGGUUAUGGUUAUGACCCUAAGAAUCAAACCCUGGUCUUCUGUAAGAGCAGCCUGUGGUCCUAAACACAGAGCAAUCUCUCCAGUUCCUGCAGUUUUUUAUACAGUUCUUGGAUUCCAUGUAUAUUUUAAACCAUCAAUGGAUAAGAACCACCUCACUUCUUGCCCAAUAACAAUGGGCUUUAGUCUUAAUUUUAUCUUAUUUGACUUAUAGCGUGAGACUCUCCAGUGCAAUGUUAAGUCACAGUGAUAAUAGACACACCCACCUUGAUCUAAUAAACAAAUAAGAAUUGGGUCAAGGUGUCAGAAAAGCACUGGAUAUCAGAAAGACCAGCUGAGAUGACCCAGCCUGGCAGACACUGCUCAGAAUAAUUUUGAGGUGGCUAGCUGAGAUGAUCCAACCUCACAGACUGCUCUAGCCAGCACUUGAGACAAGCCCUGCACUUCAGAAUCACACAGAGACUAGACAACAAAAGAUACAGCUUGACAAACAACCAAAAUUUUUCUUUUCGGGAUCUCCUAAAGACGCCAUUGCCCCAGACAGCAGGAAGUAACUAAGAACAUGACACCCACAUUCCCAAGAGGUAGGGUGGGUAGUUUUUGGUCUUUCAUUAGGUUAUGGAUAUUUGUCAUCUAGGUGUAUUGGUUACUUGUUGUUUUUGCUAAUGCUCAGGAAAAAAAAAGGUAAACAAAGGAGAUUAGAUUCAAGGUUCUUGUUUUGAAAAAAAAGGGGGGAUACAGAUAUGACAGAAUAAAAAGGGUAGAUUAUUGAAUCUACUUCUAAAAAGCAACUCCUAGUUUUAAAUAUUUUACAUUGAAUUGGAGUUUUGUAUAUUGUAUACAAAUUGUGUAUAUUGAUACAAAUUUGAGAUUAAUUUUGCUAAAACAUAAUGAACAUAACGUUUCUAAUCUUGUUCAAGGUAUUGUACAUAUACAGCUCAUUUAACAAUGUACUGCAAAUUCCUAGUCCUUGAAAAUUAUUAUUACCAACUAUGUAGGAUAAUAAGGACAUGCAGGUUAGUAAUUAGUCAUCUAUUAUAAUGGAAUUUGUAAUCACAUUAGCUAUGUUUUCAAGGACAAACAAAUAUAUUUUAGAAAGAUAGGUCAUCUUCAAACACUUCAGGGAUCUACAGAAUGUGGCAUUUAAGGUGUUUUAAUAACAUAGGUUCUUUUUUUAUGACAAUGAGACAUGUCUGCUCCUGGCAGCACCAAUCUACUUCAGAGAAGAUGAUGGGCACUGAAGAAUCUCCACAUGGAGUUUACUUUCUUUGUGCAAAAGUUAGCCACUGGGCAAUAAUGUGUCUUUGCCUCAACUGCUGACAGUAUGCUGUCCAAAUUGGACAAACAGGACACAAAAAAGAGUGACUUCAAACCACACCAAGACAAGGCAGGACAGCCCUUCAAAGAUCCUGCUUCACAGAAAAAUAUGUCAGAUAUGUUAGUUAGGUCUGUAGACUGAAGAUGGAUGCUCCGAUGUUGCAGAGGAAACUUGGGUGGCUGUCCAGGCAGUCAGCUGUUUUUGUCAUUUCUCACAUUUUACUCAAUGAAUAUUAUUUCCUUCUCGGGUCCCUGAGGGAGUUAAAAACUAGAUAGUCAUAGUUUUACCAGACUCAGAAAAGAAACUCACUAAAGAAAUUUAAAGCAUAUAAGGUUGAGAGACAUUAAAAGAUAAUUUGAUAAUGCAAAUUAGAAUAGAAAGUAAAUUAGGUACAAGACUUUGGACUCACCAAGAUAGGAUAAAUAAAAGAGAAUUUUAUCUGAAUUUGUUAAAUUGAAAUGAACUAGAUAUUGUUGAUGUACUUAUUGCCUAUAUAUUAUAUAUACUUAUUUGCAUGAUUUUUCUUAUAUUAGUUAUAGCCCUUUUUGUAUUAGACAAAAAAAGGGAAAUUGUGGUGAUUAAUUGUUUAUGAUCUAAUAAAGCUACUGAAGAUCAGAAUGCAAAGAUAGCCACAGCCAUAGAAGCUGGGCAGUGGUAGCAUACACAUUUAAUCCCAGGACUCCGACACAGAAGCAGAUGGAUCUCUGUGCGUUCAAGGCUACCCAGGGCUAUAAGAGAGUGAAUCAGUCUGAAAAAGAAACAGAGCUCACACCUUUAAUCCCAGCACCAGAGAGGUAUAUAAGACAGGAACAGGCAGUCAGUCUUGGGCAAUUAGUCUCCAGCCACGUUGACGACAGGAUCCCUCCCACAGCCUUGGUAGAGUUAAGAGCUCUCUGGUGACUUGGAUGUUUUGCUUAUCUGAUCUUCAGCUUGAACCCCAAUAUCUGUCUCUGGGUUUUUAUUAUUCAUGUUUCAAGAAGGGACCCAAAUUGACCUUAAUCAGAACAAUGGUUCACUGUACCUGCCAGAUGGUGAAGUGAGUGAAGGAACUUCACACAAACCGGGAGAGACCAACUCCACAAGUUGUCCUCUGAUCCUGCAUGCAUGUGCACACAGACAUAUGUCACACACCUGUGUGCAUGCACACAUACAAUAAACUAUUGCAAUAAUUUAAAAAGAAAAAGUCUGUUAUGUAAUACUUGCUGGCAAAGGACUGAAAACUUGUUGAGAUCAGGAUUCAGACAAGAAAUCCAGCUACAUGUGUGGUGGUUUGAAUAAGAAUAACACCCCCACCCCCACAGACUCAUAUAUUUGAAUAUUUGGUCCCCAUUGGUGGAACUGUUUGGGAAGGAUUAGAAGGUGUGGCCUUGUUGGAGUAGGUGUGUCCCAGGAGUUGGGGGAGCUUUGAGGUUUCAAUACUCUCACUCUCUGCCUCCUGUUUACAGAGCAAGAUGGAAACACUGGGGCUGGAGAGAUGUCUCAGAGGUUAAGAGCACCGACUGCUCUUCCAGAGGUCCUGAGUUCAAUUCCCAGCAACCACAUGGUGGCUCACAACCAUCCGUUAUGAGAUCUGGUGCCCUCUUCUGUUGUGCAGAUAUACAUGGAAGCAGAAUGUUGUAUACAUAAUAAAUAAAUAAAAUCUAAAAAAAAAAAAAAGAUGGGAACACUCAGCUCUUCCUGCUACUAUACUAUGUCUUCACUCUACCAUCAUGGACUCCAGCCCUCUGAAACCAUAAGGCAAAUUAAAC
ensembl:lincRNA